CAUUACACUUCAACGAGGACCACAAAAUCUGCAGGAAAUGGACUGACCACGGAUGGGAUUUAGGUCAUGUGACGAUGCAUUUCCAUGAUAAUUCUAAGAGUCCAUGUGGACGUGCUUUAGAUAAUACUACACGCUGUCACUAAUGGAUACAGGUGCUCAUCGGUUUGGCAGUUGAGUAGCAGCGACAUUUCUACUAACCUGGUGUGUGCUGGGAAGACAUUCAGCACUUUUAAGAAGAGAUAAACGGUAUCCUUAGCACAGUGUGGGGACAUGGAACCAGAAGCUGAAGAAGCAGAGGAGACAACGUUGGAGUCUGAGAUGUUUGUAAAGACAGUUUGUGACAAACAGGAGGUGAAGAGUGAAGAACCUAUUUGGCAGCCUUGGCAGGUGUUUGAAGAACCAAUCAUGGAGCUGCAGAGAAAGAAUAUCACAGAAAAAGAGGGUCAGAAGAAAUCAGCAGAAGACAACAAGAAUGAAGAAGGAAGUGAGACGAAAAAUGAAAUGGUUAAUAAAGUGGCAGAAGAGAUGAAGUGUGCUGAAAACUUAAGCAACAUGGCAACAGAUGCUAAUGACUCAAGUGGCGACCCAACCAAUGAGCCCAUCUCCUCAAAUUCUCACACCAACCCACCUAAGACCAAUGAAUCAGACAUAGAGCACAGCAGAAAACUGACAAAGACUCCCAGCUUUGGGAAAACAGUUCGUUUUUUGGAAAUUGAGUCAGUGGAAGAAAGGGACAGCUCAGUGGACUCUCUUUUUCCAGACUUUGAGAUAGAAGAAUGGACCACCACCAGCUUUGAGGAGCUGUUUCUGGCAGAUGACUGGAAGGACAUUGCAGAUGACCGUCUGCUAAGGAAGAAAGUGUUACAGGCCAGUCCCGAGAAUGUCCUGACCCCGGCUUGGGGUCAAGAGGUCACACUGAAAAUGCAGGGUGUGCUGGAGGAUAGGACUGUGGUGGAGAAAGACUGCAAGCUGGUCUUCAUUAUCGGAGAGGGAGAUGUCAACCAGGCCCUGGAAGAGUGCGUCAUUUCAAUGACGAAAGGGGAGAUCGCUUUACUGCUUGCAGAUUCACAAUACACCUACGGACACCUGGGAAGCAUGUGCAGAGACGAGGACCGAAUCCCUGUUGGUCUUGGCACCAAGACUCAAUGAGCCGUGCAAGAGAGGAAAGAGUAUAUUUACCCGGACAUCGAGACAUGUCAUAAAAUUUAAUGAACAAACCCCAGAUGGCCUGGGAUGAACUGGAGUGGAUCACUAACAAGAAUAUCAAGAUGAAAAUGUCUCAUAUAAACUGGUUGCGUUCAUCUUAAAAGCAAAACUCAGUCCCUAAAUGACCCCUAACAAGGCCCAGUGCUCACUAGUGUGAAAUCAAGUGAGCAAAGCAAAUUUGCAGCCAUAGUGGAUAUCUAAGUUUCAACAUAAGGAGAACCAAAGGUCACUGGACACCUUACACAUUAUGGGUUUUUCUGGGAAAAGCUGUAGUUAACCACAUAAAACUCAAAACAAAUCCUACCCAUAUGUCAUGGGGUGGUAAAUUGUGAGUUAGCUUGGAUUUAACGGUAACUUUAACGUGCGGCUCACUCAUAUAGAUUUAAAGCAAUAUUCUAGGUUCAACAGUUAAAGUGAUACUCAACUUAAAAAUGAAAAUACUCUGAUCAUGACGUGCCGGAUUUAUAUGAAUUUCUUUCUUCAGAUGAACACAAAUAGAUUUUUAGAGAGAUAAUCCAUCUUUGCGAGUCUGUAUAAUGCAACUGAAUGGGUCCUUCAAAGUUGACACUUCAAAAACUACGCAAAACAAACAUGACAGUAAUCCAUAUGACCUCAGUUGAAGAAUCAUUGUCUUCUGAAAUGAUAGGCAUGUAAGAAAAAUACAAAUUUUAUAUAUAUGGACCAUAAAAAAAAAAAAAAAUAAAAAACCUGAGGAAGUCAAUGGUUACCAUCAACUGUUUGGAACUGAAAGAAAUUCAUACAGGGUUGAAACAACUAGGGUGAGUAAAUGAUGACAAUUUUCAUUUUUGGCUGAAAUAUCCCUUUAACUUGUAUUAAACCUAAAAAAAAAAUCAUUUCAGUUCAAAAGCUGAUUGUUUAAUACAGACAGUUUAUUGUUUUACUGUCAGAAACGUGUUGACUUUGACCUGAAGGAACCUGACAGAUAAUGCCAAAAUCACAGCAUUUGUAUUGAUUCUCCUUGAUUUUUCAUUUAGCUGUUAGCAUAGGCUAACUGAUUGGAUUUUAUACAACUCAGUCAACCAUGAAAUCUCUGACAAAGACGUAAUAUCAUCAUAAUUCAUGGUGAAGUUCUUCCACUCUCACAACUAAACCUGACAUUCCCAUGAAAUACUCUUAAGUCUUUGUUUACCCAAAUUCAUACACUGGCAGAAUGAAAGAAGCAUCAAGAGAGGUGCAAAUAGAUUGAGCCUUUAAGCAAACAUGGUGUGAACUGUGUAGGUGUGUGAAAUGAUGAGAUGUCUCUCCUCUCAUCUGAAUGUCAAAUUGUGUGAUGAGGAUUUUGUGAGUGUACUGUAUGUGCCAUUGAUAAAAUCUUCCGGCUGCACUGACAUAUGACACAUUCCUCGCACAAGCACACUCACUCGUACCCGCGCAGCCAAGUGAUGAGUCUGUUCACAGCAUGGCUUUUAAAUCAACACACACAGUUCUAGGUUCUGGUGACUGUUUGUGAGCCAAGUCUUGAGAAAGAGCCGAAGAAAAGAACUGGCAGUAGCUUCUAUGUAUCUCACUCAGAAAAAAUGACUCUGCAAUUUAAACGGACAGUCAAAAAUCUGCAAGUAUAAAACAUUAGCACAACCACACUUGUGCACCAAGCAAAAAGACACUAUGAAAAUACAUCUAGUAAUACAAUGGCAUACCAAGACAGUUUGGCUAUUAUAAAUCAGCUACUGUAUGUUUGUCAAUCAUACAGAUCCUCACUCUUAAAAAAUAAAGGUUCUUUAUUGGCAUUUAAGGUUCAGUGAAGAACUUUUAAUAAACAUUAAACUUUUCUAUUACACCAAAGAUUCUUUAUUGUAGGGGGGAAAAGUUGUUAAAAGUUGUUCUUUUGUUGUAAAAUGUAUUUUUAAAAUUAUUUUAAGAACUAUUCGGCUCUUUAAAUUAAUAAAAAUGAUUCUUCUAUGGUCAAUAAAAAGGAACCUUUAUUUUUCAGAAUGCAUUCAAACUUGUGAAUUUAUUUCAUAAUUGUGACUUUCUCAAUUUCACAACUGCAACUUUCUGAUAUUAUGGUAACACUUUACAACAAUGCAUUAGCUAACAUGAGCUAAUUUGUUCACUAAUGUUAAGAGAUGCACAUUUGAUUUAAAAAAUGUAUUAUUGAUUGUUGAAAUUAAUAUUAAGGGGAUAGUUCACCCUUCCAAAACCAACCAAAUCAAACAAAAGAAAGUAUUUUGAAGAAUGUUGUUAACCAAACAGUUGAUGGUAGCCAUUGACUUCCAUAGUUUUUUUUCUUUCUUUUUUUUCUCCAUAGUAUGGAAGUCAGUGGCUACUGUCAACUCUUUGUUUACAUACAUUCUUCAAAAUAUCUUCUUUUGUGUUUAACAGCUUUAAGAAAUGUACACAGGUUUAGAACAACUUGAGAGUGAGUAAAUGUUGACAAUUUUCAUUUUUUGGGUGAACUAUCCAAUUAUUAACUGUUGUGAAAGUAUUGUUUAUUGUUAAUUAAUGUUAACUAAUAUUAAGAAAUGAAAUCUUAUUGUAAAGUGUUACCUUGGUGUCUUGCAAUUGCAACUUUUCAUAUCACAGUGACUAUAAAUUAAACAAUUUGAAUUUUUUUUUUAUUUGAAACUUUUUUUUAUUAUUUUUAUUUUUAUUAUGUUUUAUCUUUAACUCUAAGGUGGAACAUACCCAUCUGAAUAUGUAUGUGUAUUAAGUAUUUAAUAAGUGAGCUGUGGGAAUGUGACACUAUUUCACUAAUGCAUCGGAGUGUGUGUGUGUGUGUGUGUGUGUGUGUGUGUGUGUGUGUGUGUGUGUGUGCAUGUGUGUGUGUCAGAGAAAGAACUUGUGUGGAUGCAUGAUUCAUGAUGAGUGACCAAUCACUGCUGACGUGCAACCCAGCAGCUAAACUCAAUUGUUAUGAAGAGCUUUUUGUCAUGAGAAUAUUGGCCCAACCUUGAUAUGCAAAUGUGUGUUUCUUUCUUAGCUUGACUAAUUUGCAUCAAUUAGCUUCUACAGUUUGCAAGCAAUGCAUCAACCAAUCAAGUUUUGCUUCAUGCGUACCCUUCCUAUAUAUCAUAAAGAAACAACCACAAAUAUGAGAUAUGGUUAAAAUACAUGCAAAUAUGAGCGGAAAUGCUGUGAUUCAGGAAACAUUCCCACAGCGGGUUCACGAUAAGAGGUACAGUAUAGCAGUCAUGUGAUUUCAGAGAUUAAGACUGUCAAAUCUCUAGAUGGAACUCUGGUAAGAAAGUGAAUCAGAGCCACUCCCAGCUGUCAUGCUGCAGAGUAAGGCCACACACACACACACACACACACACACACACACACACACACACACACACACACACACACACACACACACAAGCCAAAAUUCAGGUAGAAAUGUUCAUGCAUGCCUGAAAACACACCCACAAACAGUGAAAUCUGUUUCAUUGAAACUUGGGUGGUCAGUGAAGCACUAAUAAAGUCAUUCACCUUCAAAUUAAUAAGUAUUUACUUACAGCAGUCUGUCCAACAAAUAUAUAUAUAUUUUUUUAGCCAAAAAAGAAAAAACAAAAUCAUUUUUCCAAAUUUUUCAAGAAUGGUGCAAUCACACACAUUAAUAUGCGUUCCUGUGUGAACUGACUAAUUUACUACUAGGAGUACAGUCAUGCCUGUUCAUCUUGACUAUCAGCAUAAAUUUGUUCUAGCUUGCAACAUAUUCUGGUCUAUAAUUGGCCACCUACGCAGGAAAGGUCUGUCUUGCUGACAUGAAAUGUGACCAAUCACUCUUAGUUUAGUUUUAAUAUGCCAAGGCCGAAAAUGCUCAAACACAUCCACAGCAACAUCUGUAUAUAAUAGGCUUUGUAAAACAGAGAAAAUUAGAGUGUGUACUUUGUAAUCAGCAUUACCGUCCACCCUAAUGUAAUAUGUCCUAAUUAUUUUAGCAUUCAAAAGGUUGGUUGGUUGGUUGAUUAUUAAUUGAUUGAUUGGGAAAGAUUCUUUUUUUAUGCUCACUUGGUUGCAUUUAUAUAAUCAAAAUUACAGUAACAUAGUAACAUUUUGAAAUAUUACUACAAUUUACUACAACUCUUUUCUAUUUAAAUAUAUGUUAAACUGUGAUUUAUUCUUUGAUAGCCAAAAAAAAAGAAAGAAAGAAAUCUUCUGUAGCCAUUACACUUGUUUUCAGUGUCACAUGAUCUUUUAGAAAUAAUUUGUUUCUUAUUAUUAUAUUAAAACAUUUCUUAUUAUUAUCAAUAUUGAAAACAGUUGUGCUACUUAACAUUUUUUUGUGAAUAAAGAUA
ensembl:lncRNA